AGAAGUGUCAGCCUGCAGAAUGCAUACAAUAAUUUCAAAUAACUAUUUAGUUAUGUAAGGACUCAACUCUCUCAUCUUACAAACUUUGAGGUCAGGAGGAAAACAUCGUGACACAUUUGUUUUGGGGUAGUGAAAAAAAAUAAUUUGAAUUUUUUGAACUGAUCUUCACAAUUCUUACAAGGAAUGUCUUUAACUGCAUGAAGAGCGAUAUUUUCAAAGUAAGGAUUUUAGGAAAAAUAUAAUUGUACAUCUUCCUAGUUGAUACUGAAUCUCUGACCUCAUCACAAUCAAAUAUAUAGAUAUUACACUUCAAAACUUACAUCUGAAAUAUGGAUGCACAGAGAGAUCCCCCAAACAGACCUUUCCAACUUAUCGCAGACACACAUCAGCAUGCUGUCCCACAACAGCCACAAAUUAAAACUACUCCUCAUCAGCCAGUCCAGAAAGCUGUCCCACAACAGCCUAACUUGCACACAACAGCAAGACAGCCACCUCAGCAUGCUGUCCCACAACAGCCACAAAUGAAAACUACUCCACAUCAGCCAUUUCAGGAAGCUGUUACACAACAGCCUAACUUGCACACAACAGCAAGACAGCCACCUCAGCAUGCUGUCCAACAACAGCCAGAAAUGAAAACUACUCCACAUCAGCAAGUCCAGGAAGCUGUCCCACAACAACCUAACUUGCACACAACGCCAAGACAGCCACAUCAGCAUGCUGUCCCUCAGCAGCCUUCCGAACCAAAUCUUCAGGUGAUCGUUAAAAACUUCGCUGACAGCAAAAAUUACGCGAUAAGCGUGAAGCCUAAUACUCUUAUUCAGGACUUUAUGAAUCAGAUUACUAACUCAAUAAAAGGAUAUGUUCCUAAUACUCAGCAGAUGUUGACAUACGCUGGCAAAGUUUUGGAGUCCGGGGCGACCAUUGCAGACUACGGUAUACAAAGUAAUCAGACCAUAUUCCUAACUGGGCGUCUUCGAGGUGGCUAAAACUCUAAUACCAGAUUCAAGCAGUUAUCAGCAGCAUACGAAUACACCUCAGCUUAUAGUGCGACGAUAAACUGUUAGGUCAUUUAGAAUUACUUUGAUGCAUUUUUUUAAAAAUCUAUCGGUGAUUUGUGACAGAAGAAAUAACAGGAAAACAUUUUCCCGAGAUCAACGUUUUGUUAUUGGAGUCUUUUUUUAGAGCCUAGUUUCCAACACGAGAGCUCUAGUGGCUGUUCCGAUAAAAUUAAAUUCCAAUUAUGAAAUCUAGUUCUAGAAAUAAUUAUAGAACAAGAAAUGUCUCCUUUCUAUACUCAACAUUCCUGUACUUUAUUUGAGUGCUGGCAGCUGAAGGAAUGUAGAUGCACAUUAACAACACACAAUAGUAUUCAAUAGUAUUAACCACUCCACUAAUUUAUAAUAAUAAUAAUAAUCAAUAAUAAUUAUUAUUAUCUUUAUUAUCCAUAUGGAAAUUUGUCUUACAAUUUGUGCAUUACACCAAACAAAACAUGAAAUAAUAUUUGACUUCAAUGAUUUGUACAUAAAAUCCAUAUGAUAUGUCAUAUAUUAAAAUUUAAUAUAAUUUAUCUCAUGGUUGAAUGAAUGUAAAGCUACAUGGUAUUUUAUAUAUGUAUUUAAUAUUGUUUUUAACAAAGUUUCUAUCACUUUCCAUUGUCGGAUCAGUUUGAAACUUUGCGCAACUAUUCAUUGUCGAUGAUAACACACGAAUCAAUUAAAUAAUCCACUAGGUGUAGUUAAUUGAUUUUGUUUUAUUUAGAAAUGCACUAAGGUAAAGAGAGAUAAACCUUGUGUAGAGAAUUUUUUGACUAUAAAACCUAUUUUUUUAAAUGUACUUGUAAAGCUCAGUGGUUAAAGCGUCGACCUUUCAUCAUGGAAGUUCGAGACCCCGAAUUUGAAUUCGGACUCGAGCAACUUAAAAAAAAAAAGGUUUUGAAAAAAAGCAGCAAGGAAACCUCCCCCCCCCCCUUCCCCUACUGGUUCUACAAAAGUGAUUGGACCAUAGCGCACUGAGCAUUUUUAUAGACUGAAAGUUGUGCUAAAGAAAAAAGAUAAAUAAAAUAUUUCCAAUCGCACACAUUUUUAUUAUUGUUAGUCUAGAUCUAUUAGACAUUAAUAACAUGAUUAAUUCAAAAUAAUUGAUGAAAUUGUCUUCAAUAUAAAUUUGUGUUGGUUUUUUUAAAAGUAUUUUUUAUUUGUUUUUAUUUUCUAAUCAGACUAAUUAGCUAGAUACCCUAACCCUUGGUUGCUCACUCAUUUGAAAUGCCUGGCCACUUUAACAGCAUGAAACAUGGGUGUCGUAUUGGAAGAUACAGACGUAAUUUCAGUACAGAAAGAGGUCACUAACUUUGACCUUAAUGUCCUUAUCUGGAUGUUUCCAUUUCAAGCCUAAUUUAUUAUUGAAGGGGAAAAGUCAUAUAAAGACAUUUUCGACUUGAAUGGGAGCUAUUCGCGAGAAACGUGUGAGUCGGCCGCCUUGUUGAUCUCCCAAAAACUCUGCUUCGAGAUUUUUAUUUUUCGAGGGGUGGGGGAGAGACAAGGAGGUUGUUUUCUUCUGACAAGCUGUUCCUAGAAGCAAGUAUUAUUUUUAUCUAAGGGAAAAUCCGAACAAUACAUGUCUACAUGGGAAAUAUAGAGCUAGAAUUGAUCCUUGUACAGGUAUCAUUCAAAACAUUUGAAAAUAAUCCCCGUUAAAUAAAAAUGUCAUCUAAAUCUGGAAAAAAAAAUUUGGUGAAAAAAAAACAACUAAUUUAUUCUACGAUACGGUUGAAACCAACUAAUAAAGAGUAUUUAAAAAAAUUCUUUAGGCCCAUUCGUUGUAGCUUUCUCUUCAGCCUGCAUUUUAAUGCCUUCAUGCACACACACACACAGCUUUUAAUGAAACGCCUCUUACCCAACAGCACUCUUUUGGGCCCUUAGAUGUUCAUCGCAUAAUUUUGUAGCAUCCUCCAAUAGAAUUCCCUUAUUCCCUACCACGAACACAAUGUUGAGAACUUGACAUACUGAUAUUAAAACAAAAGAUAACAAGGGAAAAGCAAGUAUUACACGUCAAAAAAGAAUUACCGAUUGUGAUUUAGAAAACAUCCAGGUAAUGUACCUGUAAAUUACCUCAGGUUCCUUCCAUAUAUAGAAUAAGAACAAAUUACCUUUGCAUUAAGGUGAUUUAUCAUCAUAGGAUUAUUCUAUAAUCAGAAGGUAGAAUGGAAUCUGAAGGUCUGACCAUAACUGCUUGGUUAAAAGGCCCCCCAGAAAUAGAUCGUCAACGUCGGGGAGCAACAGUGAAUGUCCUCCCUGGGCAGGACACCCAAUCUGAUUCAGUCACUUUCACCAGAAGAAGGGAUGGUCUUAUAUCCUUUGUUCCUUCUGACCAGCUGGACCAAGUGGACGGUGGGACUGACUCGAUCCUUGGAAGUAUCAGCAUCAACGACACGCCCAAAACUUUGUUCCAGAUAUUUGUUUUGAGUUACACCGACAGCACAACUCAUACAUUUAAAGUCAUGGAAUCCUUCUCUGUAAAAACACUGAUGACAAUGAUUCAUCAGAGACUGGGCAUACCUCCGGACCAACAGAGACUACAGUAUGCAGGCAAGAACCUAGAAGGAGACAAGCCACUUUCUUUCUUUGAAAUUCAAAAAGAAUGCACUCUAUAUUUGACUGGCCGCCUUCGUGGUGGAUAGACACUAAUAGACAGUAUAGACACUAAUAGACAGUAUAGACACUAAUAGACAGUAUAGUUCAACCUGUUAUCCAUUCCUAUUUAUGUGUUCUUCAUUGUUCAAAAUAACAGGAUAAAAGAUUUAAGCAUUUGGUGUUACUUUUCUCGGUGUAAAUGUCUUUAUGAAUCAAAGCAGGUGAUACUAUUUUCAAUACCAUAAAAAUCAUUGUAUUAAGUCCUAAGUAUUAAAUCUGUAGAGUGUAUGAAUGAAGAAAAUAAGGUAAAUGUAGCCUCUAGAUAGUAUGGUUUGUGCUAUUUUAUUGAAACAUUGACAUGAUAUCAUUAUAAAAAAUUACAUUUACCAAAAGAAA